rnacentral:sRNA from 1 species
AUGAAAACUGCUUAUGAAGAGGUUACAACUGAAUUAGAAGAAUAUAAGGAAGCCUUUGCAGUAGCAUUGAAAGCUAACAAUUCCAUAUCAGAAAAAAUAAUGAAAUGGAGCCGGACUGUGUAGAACAAAUAAUUACAGAAACAAAGAAAACUUUUGCUGUGUUGGACACUUGCUCCCAUCUACUUUCUUCUCUAGAAUCCACUGCCCUAGAAUGAGUAAUUUUUCUUAGAAGCAGAGUUGGAGCCACCGAGGAAGCACAGGCGAGCCCUCCCCAGCACGUGCUCACUAGUGCCGAACAGAAGAACCGCUGCCCCAUCCGUGUCUCGGCUGCUCUACAAGGGAGUCCCAUUUCAGAGCAGGACAAACAGGCCAGGUGGUGUCAGGAGCCCAGGUCUCCAGCUAGAGGGAACAUCAACCCUGCAGUGGGAGCAGGGGCCCAUCGCACAUCCUAGGCACAGAUGCUAA